UAACGCGUGGGCAACCUGCCUUGUACAGGGGGAUAACAGUUAGAAAUGACUGCUAAUACCGCAUAAGACCACAGCACCACAUGGUGCAGGGGUAAAAACUGAGGUGGUACAAGAUGGGCUCGCGUCUGAUUAGCUGGUUGGUGAGGUAACGGCUCACCAAGGCGACGAUCAGUAGCCGACCUGAGAGGGUGACCGGCCACAUUGGGACUGAGACACGGCCCAAACUCCUACGGGAGGCAGCAGUGGGGAAUAUUGCACAAUGGGGGAAACCCUGAUGCAGCGACGCCGCGUGAGUGAUGAAGUAUUUCGGUAUGUAAAGCUCUAUCAGCAGGGAAGAAAAUGACGGUACCUGACUAAGAAGCCCCGGCUAACUACGUGCCAGCAGCCGCGGUAAUACGUAGGGGGCAAGCGUUAUCCGGAUUUACUGGGUGUAAAGGGAGCGUAGACGGAACAGCAAGUCUGAUGUGAAAACCCGGGGCUCAACCCCGGGACUGCAUUGGAAACUGUUGAUCUAGAGUGUCGGAGAGGUAAGUGGAAUUCCUAGUGUAGCGGUGAAAUGCGUAGAUAUUAGGAGGAACACCAGUGGCGAAGGCGGCUUACUGGACGAUGACUGACGUUGAGGCUCGAAAGCGUGGGGAGCAAACAGGAUUAGAUACCCUGGUAGUCCACGCCGUAAACGAUGACUACUAGGUGU
rnacentral:rRNA from 1 species